rnacentral:sRNA from 1 species
AAUUGGUGCUCGGGGGCCCCAGAUUUGUCUCCAAGGCAGCCCCAACUCUGCGUGCCCGGGUCAGCGCUCCUCUCUCCUUCUCUCCCCCGCCGCAGGCUCAGUCUGACGCCGAGGCCCUGGCAGGAGCUCUGGACAAGGACGAGGGUCAGGCCUCCCCAUGUACGCCCAGCACUCCAUCUGUCUGCUCACCGCCCUCUGCCGCCUCCUCCGUGCCGUCUGCAGGCAAGAACAUCUGCUCCAGCUGCGGCCUCGAGAUCCUGGACCGGUAUCUGCUCAAGGUCAACAACCUCAUCUGGCACGUGAGGUGCCUCGAGUGCUCCGUGUGUCGCACGUCGCUGAGGCAGCAGAACAGCUGUUACAUCAAGAACAAGGAGAUCUUCUGCAAGAUGGACUACUUCAGCCGAUUCGGGACCAAGUGCGCCCGGUGCGGCCGACAGAUCUACGCCAGCGACUGGGUGCGGAGAGCUCGCGGCAACGCCUACCACCUGGCCUGCUUCGCCUGCUUCUCGUGCAAGCGCCAGCUGUCCACUGGUGAGGAGUUCGGCCUGGUCGAGGAGAAGGUGCUUUGCCGCAUCCACUACGAC